UCUCCCACCAUAUGCUGCAACUUUCAUGUCUGUUUUGCCAUCUCUUCCAUUAACAUUAUGAUUAAUGAAAGCCCUCCAGAACUUCAAAUACCUUGAAAAGUAGCCAAUGCUUGCUCUUUGGAGGCUGCAUUGAAAAUAAAUAACAAUAAAACCAGAGUGAUCCAGGCUUUUGAAGUCUUUAAAAACACCAUCACUGUGAUCUCUGUACCACUGCUGCAGAAAAGAGGACAACAUUUCACAUUUCUGGCACCACUAACGACAACACAGCAACUGAAAGAAAGCAUGAAUUUCUGGGAGCAGCAUUAGGAUACAGGACUCCUGCUGAGCUCACCAGUUCCUUGCUCUGCACAGCUGCCUUCUCAGCUGGGGGUUUGAAAUCAGCACUGUGAGAAAAGACAGAAAUGACCAUGGUGCGUUUGCCUCAUUCUGAGAAAAAGGCACUUGGAUGCUGAAAUCUUCUGCAGCUGUUCUGUGACCAUGAGGAAGCACAUAUGAGGAAACCCUAAGAGAAUUUCAGAAUGCCUGCUAUAACAUGCUAAAACUACUGAACCAGUGCCAGCUGUCUUCCUCAAGGCUCCUUGCUAUGUCAGAAGAGUAAAUCAAUAUUUACUAAGUCAACCUAUGUGUUACUUUUAGUUGGAAGCCUUUCCUAACUGAUGCCACAUGUAUAAAUAAUUUAGAAAGGUUUUUGAAAGUUGAGCAUUAUGUUACAAAAUAAAAUACUUAGCAAUAAAGACAAAAUACAAUUCUCUUCAGGAACUUUAUGGUAAACAUUUUAUAUGAUAAAGAAGUAAGCAUCAAGAAACUUUGUAAUAUUUGUCCAAGGUCUGAGAUCAAUUGCACUGGCAUAUUUCUUACUGGUUCUUGGUGUUCUUUUUCUCACAUGUAAAAUAAUAGAUUGCAUUACUUCUGAGUUCCACUGCAUGUCUAAACUUCUGACUAUAUUAGAACAAAGUGUAUUUUAAAUCUAUGGCUUUAUAAUACUACCUGUUGAAUAUUUGAAAAUUCAUAUUCCUUGGAUACUUUUUGUAUGAAAGAAGUCAUUGCAUUUUACUGUUCAUACUUAGGAUUCUAUACAUUCCAUAUUGAAAAUAAUGGGCUAUGAGUUCGAGUCCUUUGAUGUACCAUCAUCCACUCUAAAAAUAUAAUUUAUUACAUACUGAAAUUAGCAUAAAAUGAUAUUUGGAAACAUCUUUUAGGAAGAAUUUUCACCAGAACACUCUAUACGAUAUCAUUAAUUCCUCCUCCUUUUGCUAGCACAAAAUUCAGGCAAAAUAAUUCCACUGAUAUGAAGAUAUGUCUGACACAUUAGGUUUUCUAGCCCUUUGAUGACAUGUCUGUGCAAUUGUAUGAAAUUGGCAUAAAGAAGAUUCAUUGAUAUCAAGGAAAAUGUUCUCAAAUCGCUUUGGGGAGGCAAUAAAGUAUAACAAAUAAAAUGUUGCUAUACUAUUUAAAAGAAUAGGAACAAAUGUGAAUUAAAUGGGAAUUGACCAUAAAUAACUGAUUUCAAAGUCUAUUUUAUAUUUUCAUCUUUUUUGCAAUAAUAUAAGGUUAUGCAAGCUGAUCAAAUGCCAGUGGCUCUAGCUAAGCCUUUUUUGGCCACAAUACAUUGACACUUAACUCCGAUUUGUAAUUUGGUUGAUGUUGGAAACUGAGAUGUGCAAAGAAGCUGUUACUGGAAAUGGAAAAGAAGUGAAACAGAGUCCAUACAGAAAGGAGAGAUUUGAUAGCAAGCAAAAGCUUUAAUGCAGAAAAUGAAAAUAAAAAGAAAAUGAUAUGUGUAUAUUUAUAUGUGCAUUUUUUUGUGUGUGUGCAUAGGCAGGCAUAUGGAAUAAUUAGAGGAGAAUGAAAAUGCAUCAAUAUGGAGCUUGUUACUUGUGAUGAGAUGGUGAAACUAUCACAAAUAAUUAUUAGCACCUCUUGUUUUCCAGAGUAAUGUGCUGCCCAUGAACUGGAGAACUGAGCUGGUACUUAAAAAUAAGGGUUUCUUUCUUUCUUUAAAGCAACAACAUCUUUAGUUGUUGUUGUAAGUGUAAAACAAACAGGGAUGCCUUCCCUUUACAUGCUGGAAGCAGUCUUCCCUGUUGCCAAGGCAACAUCCUCAUGCUGCAAGGGUCACCUUUGGAAACAAUCGGAAGACUUCAAAAGCAGAUCAAUUGAGAAACACCAAGACCUGAACUUCCUAGAAAAUGGCUCCUAUUUUAAAUGCCAUUUUCCAACAGACACUUGCUUAUGUGAUUACUAUAUUCCAGGAAAAGAAGGCAAAACUGCAUAUGAACUAAGUCUAGUCCAAUAUUUUCAAGCUCUGCUCUUGGAAGCCUAUGCUUUAUAAGAAAGAUGUUUUGAAAGGGGGAAUGAGCAGAAUUUUCACUUAGACCAUGAACUGACAUUCAGAUUUGAAAAUAGAAGCUGCAGAUGAAACUUCAUUCGAAGAACGUUUCCACUCAUUUAAAAAAUACAGACUAUACAUAUAAACACACUUGAUUAUACCUUGUCUAAAAUAACGAGAUUUUUAUUUUAAUUUCUGAGAAUGUUUUUGUGAUAUAUUAAAUUUGUGCAGAUUUUGUG